CCUGCUUAGCUCAGUUGGCAGAGCGCUCCACUGGAAAUGAAAGAGAUCUCUGGUUCGAUACCUGGACAAGA
rnacentral:tRNA from 1 species